rnacentral:rRNA from 1 species
GAUGAACGCUGGCGGCGUGCUUAACACAUGCAAGUCGAACGGAAAGGCUCCUGCUUGCAGGGGUACUCGAGUGGCGAACGGGUGAGUAACACGUGGGUGAUCUGCCCAGCACUUCGGGAUAAGCCUGGGAAACUGGGUCUAAUACCGGAUAGGACGAUGGUUUGGAUGCCAUUGUGGAAAGUUUUUUCGGUGUGGGAUGAGCUCGCGGCCUAUCAGCUUGUUGGUGGGGUAAUGGCCUACCAAGGCGUCGACGGGUGGCCGGCCUGAGAGGGUGUACGGCCACAUUGGGACUGAGAUACGGCCCAGACUCCUACGGGAGGCAGCAGUGGGGAAUAUUGCACAAUGGGCGCAAGCCUGAUGCAGCGACGCCGCGUGGGGGAUGACGGCCUUCGGGUUGUAAACUCCUUUCGCUAGGGACGAAGCGCAAGUGACGGUACCUGGAGAAGAAGCACCGGCUAACUACGUG